UACUUUCUCCCCAUCGCCUCCUGUGUGCCAGCGGUAGGAGGACCCAGCACGUCCAAGAGGAAGCAAUGAUUUUCCCAGGCUUCACUGAAGAAGAGAGAAAGAGAGAGAGCACAAGCAGGAG